rnacentral:rRNA from 1 species
UACGUAGGGUGCAAGCGUUGUCCGGAAUUAUUGGGCGUAAAGAGCUCGUAGGCGGUGUGUCGCGUCUGCUGUGAAAACUCAGGGCUCAACUCUGAGCUUGCAGUGGGUACGGGCACACUAGAGUGCUGUAGGGGAGACUGGAAUUCCUGGUGUAGCGGUGAAAUGCGCAGAUAUCAGGAGGAACACCGGUGGCGAAGGCGGGUCUCUGGGCAGUUACUGACGCUGAGGAGCGAAAGCUGGGGAGCGAACAGG